rnacentral:rRNA from 1 species
AUGUAUGAGAUGGGCAACGUCCAGCCUGGCAUUGCAAUCCACCUACAAGGGGAGGCAUCGUCGUCCGCUUCUUCAUCAGCGUCGACGGAGAGAUCUCAUGUUCUUUGUAAGCCGCCAGUGGCGUGCACCGGUAAGGGGUGCAUCUUUUGUGCGCGUGCUAUCACGGCGAGGUAUGCUGCUGCACAGAUAUCAACUCGAAGAAACAGAGAGCCGGAGGUGAACACGGUUGGGGAAGUAACACAACUGAUGGCGGAUGGAUUGGCCGGAGCAGAUGGCGGACGGCAUGUCGGGCAGGCAAGUGAGCAUGUCCAGCUGCACCAUCCGCCGGUGAGUCCCGCAGCUAGUCCGGCUGCUAGUCCUGCUGCAAUAUCAAGGACGCUAUGCACCGAGAAUGCGUGGCAAGUAGCAGUGAACCAAGACGUGGGGAGGUUGUAG